rnacentral:lncRNA from 1 species
CGCAGAGUUCUGGAGAAGCAUCCCCGAAAAGGUAUGACCACUGCUUCCGGGUCAGCCAGGGACCAAGGGCAUCUCCCCGCCUCUCAAGGGGGGCUGCCUGAGCACCGAGGCUGCGGUGGGGCUGCCCCCGGCGUGCCCCUGGAUGGCCGGCCCCCAGGACACCCCUGCCACGGGUAGGCCCACGUGGUGCAACACUUGUGUGCGUUGUCCUGCUAUACACGCGCCUCUGGACGUCCACUCUCCCCUCCUCCUCCGCCUCGUCGUGGGCAAGAACCAGGAGGAGUCCUGGGAGCUGCGGCCAUGGUCGGGGCGUGGACGGAGGACGGGAGAGGAGGGCCAGGAGGCAGCUGGGCUGCACCGUCCAUGAUGGGACCUGAGUGUCCCAGGUCCCUGGAUGGCACAUUAGUCACAAUCCACCCACUGACCAUGAUAGGUUGUCAUUAACUGAGGUCUGCGCCCUGCUCAGGGUCCCUCGGGUCUGCCCCCGUGUCCCCCACCCGGGACCCACACAACGUGCACGCGUCCUGUCUCCCUGGGCCCCUCUGGGCUGUGACAGAUCCUCGGGCGUCCCCUGGGUCUGAGGACCUGGCAGCUUUGAGGAGCACGGGUCCGGUCAGGGAGUCUGUCCAACGUCCCGCCCUUGGGACUUGGCCUGGCCUCUGCAGGGAGACGGCAGAGGCCACGUGCCAACCCAACCUGACACCAAAGCUGUCCACGUGCAAAAGCCAGAACGUAAACAAAGGCCCUAAGGGUCAAACCCUGCGGGCUGCCCCUCCCGCUGUGCUUCAAGGAUGCCUGUGACUCAAACGGGGAGGAAGGCUGAGAAUCAGGAGCCCCCCCCCACUACAUCACAGCCACGGCAACGCGGGAUCUGAGCUGCGUCUUCAACCUACACCACCGCUCGUGGCAACGCCGGGUCCCUGACCCACUGGGUGAGGCCAGGGAAUCGAACCCACAUCCUCGUGGAUACUAGUCUCUGACCUGCUGAGACACAACAGCAACUCCCAAAAUCGAAUGAAGCUUAAUCAAAGGAAAGAUGGAUAAUGUUUGAAAUGAAAAAGGGCAGACAACUACAAAUCCCGCAGAGAUUCAAAACGAUACGAAAAAUAGAUCAUUGAAAAGCUCCACGGCUAUAAAAAUGAAAAUUUAGAUGAAAUGGACAAAUGGCUAAGAAAUGAUGCGAAUUAACACGCUGAGAAUUAGAAACCCGGCUGAUGAGCAACUGUUCCAGAUACUAUAACCAGCAGUUGAAAAUCAACCCCCCCAAGAAGACACGAGACCCAAACAGUUGGAGAUGAAUCAAACUUUCAAGGAAUCAAUCAUUCUAGUCUUUUAUGUGCUUUUCCAGAGAAUGAAAAAGUCUCUGACAUCAGAAAAGGAAAAUUACAGGUCAAUACAACUCAAGAACAGAGAGAAAAGCAAUCCUGAAGUACCACCAACCCUCAUCCAGACAGACAGAGAGACAGCGGCCUCCACGACAAGGACGGUACGGAGGCAGUCCAAGAGGUCAAGGCCGUCGGACAGGAAGACUCCUUGGGUAAACGUCGACCCACGGAGAAAGGAAAGGAGGGACCCUUGCAGCCAUCGGGGCAGAUGCAGCCAGUGCUCUCAGCUCCCGCGACACACUCGUCCGUGAACUUGAUCUGAGAGGGACACUGACCAAAACCCACGGCAACCAUCCGUCUUACACCGGAAACGUCAGAAGCCUGCCCUCUCGUGUCUUUGAAGCCCAGCGCUCCUGUCCCCACUCGAGGCUGAGCCGGGACCUGCCACCAGCACAGGUGGACGAGGGAAAUGCGUAAGGUCAUCGCCAGCAAGAGGCGGACCCGUCAUCCCCACCGUUAGCGUCCUUUUUGUCUCACGAAGCCGGAUGCUCGACAGAAAAACUUUUAGAAACGGCACGAUUUGAGGAACGUGAUUGGAUGUUAACAUAGUAGAUAAAUCAACUGCAUUUCCACAUGGUACUAGCAACAGUUGAUUUGAAAAAAAAAGAUUUUGCCUAGAACAAGGGAGGGGGGGACCCCAGAAUCCACCAAAGAAUCAAUCUAAGGUAACGUGUUCAAAGUCCUUAUGGAGAAAAUUACAAAAACCCGUUCAAAGACAAUCAAGAAACUUGAACCAAUGAACAAAUAAGCCUGCAGAAGAAGAUCCAGUCCAGCAACGAGGUCAGCCUCCCCAGGUUCAUCCAGAUUGUCGGUGCAGUUCCAGCCUGGUGCCCACCUUGCUUUUGUAAAGGAACCUGUCCAUUGCGCUCGGUCUGUGGGGUCACAUGGGGGGAGGGCUGGGACACUGGCAGGAGGGGGACAGAGGCGGGGAGCAGAGAAGCGGCAGAGCUUAUGGUAAAGACAAGAAUUUGAUCCCUGCCACGCACCACACGCAAAAACCAAACACGUACAAUGAGAGACGACACUUUAGAAGUUACAGGAGAAAAUACAUGGUUACCUGUAAGCCCCUGAGGUGUGGCAGCGUUUCUGCUGCUCCUCUGUUUUUAAUAAGCAUUAACUACAAAAGAAAGGCUUUUUUUUUUUUCCCGGCUCAGGCAAACUGUAACUCGGGAGGAGCAAUUUUUGCACGUCACCUUUUUGUGUCAGAACAUCUAACCGUCCGCCUGCGUUUUCCAAGGCCGGCUGACUCCAGCGUCUCAGCUAACAUUGCUUCCUUCUUCACUCACGAAGCCUUCACUGAAGUCCAACCCUGGGUCCAGCCCUGCCCCGUAGAAAAUUAAGACUGAGGGAAAGGAGGCAGCACGUCCCCCGGGCGAAGUCUCUGCGGCGUCCUCUGUGUCGCACGGCAGCCUUGCCAAGCUGGUCCCUUCACCCACCCCAGGAACUGGAAAGACUUCGAGGCCACCCAGCCUGACCCCAGGGCAGCUCUGGCCCUGCCACACUCUCAGUGCCCCACUCCGAACAGGGCUGCCCAAAUCCAUGCCAACUGGCUGCGUAAUUAUGCUUCAGAUUCCUCCAAAACCCACCCCGGGGGGGUCGCCCCUUAUUAUUCCAGAGGCGCACCCAUCUUUGGUCACCCCUGUGGCUCAGGGUAAAGUGAAUCAGUGGCCAAAGAGAGCGCGGGGCCCUCGCAGCUGCCGAGACUGUGCUGUUCUCUGAUCAGAACGCCCCAAACAGGAAAAGCUAGCAGGGGUGCCGAGUUUAGACUCCAAACACUGGCCCCAGAAGCAGAAGGUCUAAGGCCACCUUAACGUAAGAGCUCAAAUGCAUCAGCAAUUUUUACUACAUGGAGGGCACUGCUCCUUCUCCACACGGGAGCAGAGUGUCAGACCUCCCUCCUCUCCCGGGAUGCCUGCCCUGACCUCACGCGACUCCAGGGUCAGACGGCGGGACAGCCGGCACCCGGCUGCUGGGACGCACUGCGGCCGCGAUGUGGGGCCACCAGCAGCAAGGACGGGGGGAGGACGACCCACGGGACGGGGGAGCAGCCCUUCCGCUGCCGAAGGGCACGUCCCGAGUGCACAGGGCACGGGCGGUAAAACAGGCGCCGGGAACCUCAGCAUCAACGGAGAGACUGGAGCCACAGGGACAAGGACUCUGCAGAGCAAGCGGGACAGGCAGGAGGGGCUGCAGCAACGGCACAGACCACACACUCACACACAUACACACGUGUGCGCACCCACACCUACACCAUACACACCUACACACACCCCACAUACAUCAUGUCACACACACACUCACACACAUCAUAUAUGUACACAGGUAGACAUACAUUGUAUUACAUAUUAUAUAGACAUACAUGGAUUUUUCUCGUAUUAUCCUCCCUCACAUUCUAUCAUAAGAGGCUGGAUGUAGUUCCC